rnacentral:rRNA from 1 species
GACGAAGGGGGCGAGCGUUGUUCGGAAUCACUGGGCGUAAAGGGCGCGUAGGCGGCGCAGUCAGUCAGGCGUGAAAGCCCCGAGCUCAAGUCUGGGAAAUGCGCUUGAUACUAUUGUGCUAGAGAGCGGGAGAGGAUGGUGGAAUUCCCAGUGUAGAGGUGAAAUUCGUAGAUAUUGGGAAGAACACCGGUGGCGAAGGCGGCGCUCUGGACCGAGACUGACGCUGAGGCGCGAAAGCGUGGGGAGCAAACAGG